rnacentral:lncRNA from 1 species
AUGAAGAGGUCUGGAGACGAUCAUGUUUCCGUGGGUGAUUUUCAUCUUACGCUGCCGAUUGUCUCUGAAUUAACAGAAUUCCUGUUGGUGAAAAUUUGAUGGUCAGGAGUGUGGCGAACAUCUCAGGUUGUUGCGCGGAUUGUUUGGGGUUGAGUGAAUCUGUGGUUCAUACUUUUCUUGAAAGCCACUUAGCCAAGGCUGGUUAGUGUGCGAAAGGUUUUAAUCGCAGUUUAAGUCAUGAAUGAAAUCUUAAUAUCACAAUGUUACUUUAGAGGAUCCUUCUCGAUUUUUUGAAUGGUGAAAAAGUUUCGGGCACGACGAAGGGAGGGUCAUCACUAUUUUAUGAUCUAUCUGCUUUGUACGAUCAAGCUAGAAAGGCCACUAUUCUUGAAAAAUUGGUUCUUGGCUUAGAGGAAUCACUUAAAUGGAGAGGUCGAUACCCUCGAAGAUAUUUGGAUGUCGUCCAAUAAAAGAUUAGAUCCUAAAAUUUAUAUCAGAGUUUUCUAUAUGGUUUCGGGUUUGAAAGUUAACUACAACAAAAGCCACGCCUUCGGGAUAGAUAAGGAGGGGAAAUAGGAGGCACGUAUGACAUAAAUUAUGCAUUGUAAAGCUGGCAAUGGAAAAACGACCCGGAUAACUCAUUCUUGGUUAAAACAGUUGGAGUUGGGAGAAGAUAGUCAGUGUGCCAGUAAUACUUCUACGUAUA